AGGGGUAUUUUUUGGUCUUGCAAAUGAUGAUUCAUCCAAACUUUAUAACAUUUUUAUCACGUCCUUCGUUGUUAACUAAGUAGAAGUGCGGUACUUGACAACUCGCUCUCGAUCUUGCACAACUUGCUCAAGUUCUUGCUAUGGCAAGUCAUUCUUACUAUUUUCAAGAUCUCUAAGAGAAUGGAAGAAAGAACAUACGAGAAUUGUUAAAGAAAGCUUUAUAUUAGAGA
rnacentral:lncRNA from 1 species